AGUGAACGCUGGCGGUAGGCCUAACACAUGCAAGUCGAACGGCAGCACAGUAAGAGCUUGCUCUUACGGGUGGCGAGUGGCGGACGAGUGAGGAAUACAUCGGAAUCUACUUUUUCGUGGGGGAUAACGUAGGGAAACUUACGCUAAUACCGCAUACGACCUACGGGUGAAAGCAGGGGAUCUUCGGACCUUGCGCGAUUGAAUGAGCCGAUGUCGGAUUAGCUAGUUGGCGGGGUAAAGGCCCACCAAGGCGACGAUCCGUAGCUGGUCUGAGAGGAUGAUCAGCCACACUGGAACUGAGACACGGUCCAGACUCCUACGGGAGGCAGCAGUGGGGAAUAUUGGACAAAGGGCGCAAGCCUGAUCCAGCCAUACCGCGUGGGUGAAGAAGGCCUUCGGGUUGUAAAGCCCUUUUGUUGGGAAAGAAAAGCAGCAGGUUAAUACCCCGCUGCUCUGACGGUACCCAAAGAAUAAGCACCGGCUAACUUCGUG
rnacentral:rRNA from 1 species